AUAAAUGUUAAAAACUUACAUUAGAACAUUUUUAAGUACAUUAUUACUGUCAAUCUUCACCACCAUACUACAACUGUUCAAACUCUAUUCAAAUUCACACAAACCCAGAAAAUACUGAAAAAAUAUGUUUAAAGUAAAAUAUACUGUGUAUGCAAUUUUUUAAAACAGCUUACCAUGUUUUUGGGUAAUUGGCAAGUUGAUCAACUACCCCAUUAAAAUCUACUAUAUGUUCAUUUUAUGGUAUGUUAGUACUUCGGCAAAGAGGAAAGUUCAGAGUAACACAAAAGUUAAUGAUCUACUAAUUCUGAUGUUUCUGAUCUCAUUACUAAGGAAAUGCUUUUUGUGAACCCAAAAAAAAAAAAUUUAAUUCAACAUAGGACUGUAAAGUUCACUUUCCAAAAGUUCACUGCCCUUUUGGAUUUUCAUUUAUGUUGUGGUGUAAAUACUACUUCAGGUUAAUGUUUAUCCUUAAGACAACUCCUCUAUGAGCUUUGACUAUAGCUGCAAAAUGGUUUGUUCUUCGCUGCAUUGUGUUUAGUACAUCAACAGCUUGCACAGCCAUCCACAAACAAGUAAAGAAACCGAGAUGAAGCGGGGGUGGUAUGAAUAAACAUUCAGACAUUUAAACAAAAGAUUUCACCAAUCUGAAACUGUGUUUUAAUGAGUCUCUGGAUUCUCCUUGGUAAUCUAGUGCAGAUUUGAAAAGUCUACAAUAGUGUCUUUUUUUUGUUUGUUUGUUUGAUCGUUUGGGGGAUUGUUUUAUUUUCUAAAUCUAGACCAGGGGCCUGUUUCAGAAAGCGGGUUAUGUGAAAACUGAGUAAGUUAACCCUGAGAUGAGGGAAAUGCUAGAUUAUCCGUUCCAGAAAGAGAGGUAAGUGAAACAGUCACCAUGGUAACUGACUCUGUGAACAUAACCUGCCAGCGAGCAGGUUUUCUUCAACUAACCCUGAGUUUCUCUUCCUUUUUAGCUGAAGCCUGCAGACUGAAGGAGCUGUCAGACAUGGUGUGUCAUUUUCUUAAAGAGUCAGUUGAUACUGAAGCACAAAUAAUCUCCGUUGGAGGGUGAAGAGACCCUCUGUUUGAGUGUUUCCGUUUUUCUGUACAAUCAAUCAUUUAUCUGAACAAUAUUCUCAGCCCUUGUAUGGUUCGUAUGACACAUCGUGGACAUACUCUCAGUUCAGAACAAGUUUUUUGUGUUGCACUUUGGGGUUUUUGCCAAUGGCUCUCUCUCUCUUUCGUAUGGCUUAUGGUUUGUACCUGUUGGGGUCUGCACGAAUAUUAAAUGCGCUGCACACACAUGCACACACACAAAUUAUAAAUGUUGAAUAAGUGGACCACUCGAGACAAAACGUUUCUUUUUUUUUCAUUAAUACUCACACAUUGACCCUGUCAGUAAUUUUCUGCCACGUCAGCUCAUGUUCUUUUGCUGCUGCUACUACUGUAUUGCUUUCUUUCUUAAAUAUAUACUCAUUAUCUGCAUGCAUUAAUUAAUAUUUUUAACUCCUCUGGGGAGAAGUAGGAGGACUGAGCCCUUUGUUUCACCUGUUGCCAUGGUGAAUCACGUUAUCUGUGUACCACUGAUGAAGGCUUGGUACCUCCUCAUGCACGAGCUUCACUCAGGGUUACCUUGACUCAGAGUUGAUUGAACUAACUGUUAUCACCUGUUCUGAAACCCAAAACUCUGAGUUUGACAGCUCAGAGUUAGUCAACCUAGAGUUAAAAUUUUAACUCAG